GGCCGCCGCGCAGCUCCCGCACACCGGCUCGGCUGGGCUCGGCUCGGCGCGGCUCGACGGGGCCCGGCCCGGCCCGGCCCGGCCCGGCGCGGGUGAAGCCCUCUUUGAAUUGCUUCUGGCUGCAUCAUGACUCCACUGAAGACAAACUGUAUCACUGUGAGAAUAACUUCAGAAUGGACAGUGUCUUGCAGUUCCUAUAACAAACAAGUGUCCAGGUCAUCCAAAUGGGCAAAUAGUUGAUGUAUCAGGGACUUGUUAAAGACGUCAAGAUUUGAUUUAAUGUAACCGAAAUACAUCUGGGAAUGGUAUUUCUGAUAUGUGUUCCUAGUGUUUGCCUCCCUACAGUUCCUCUGCCUCAUGACCUCAGGGGCAUUGAGAGGAGGACUCUGCUUUCCCAGCCUGCCUGAUAUGUGGCAUUAGAUGCUACAGCGUUGUUCCUGUAAACACGGGCUGCUUCAAGCAAGAAAAAUCUAUUGUGUACAAAGGAGUUGACUGGGGUCCUCAGAAAGAUGGCUUAGUGGAAGUGGUACACUGAAAACACUGUUGUCCUUGCAGAUCUUGAGCAAGAUCUGUUGUCUUCAGUUGGGUGCUCACUGUUGCAUACUCUGCUGUGCUUUGGGCUGAACAGCAUUUUCAUGAGUGUCCUGUUACCAUGACUGAAAUAUUUUAUAAGCCAUACCUUGAGUGCAACAAUACACAAGAUGAUUCCAGUCAUGCAGAAAUACAGCGCUGGAUAUAAAUUAGUGUAUGCUUGUAGUGGAUGGUCUUCCUUGUUCAUCUAUGGAAGAUACAGAUUUACUGGAGGGAAGAAAAGUAGUCUUUAUCCUCUGCAUUAUUGCUGCUCCCUGUGCACCUGCACCUGGCUUUGCCUUGUGAUGGGGAAACAACUGUCUAUCUUGGAUUUACCUGGCUCUUUGCACACCUGAGGGUUUGGACUCCAAACCCAAACUUCCUGUGAAAUAAUUUUUGGCAUUGCAAGUAUUAAGUGCAUGAGUCUGAUCAUCUAGUGGCUCUGAUGGAAUCCCCAGAAAAGGAUCUCAGACAGAAAAGGUCUUUUCUUUCCACAGCACCAUCCUUACAGGCACUCUGUUCAACAAAAGUGCAAAUAGCCUGCCAGCUCCAAGGAGGAAAUAUGUGAGAUCCACCGGAGCUGGGAGCCACCUGCACUGAGGUUUCAUGCCAUUGUGACUGCUGUAAUCUUCCAAAGGCUUGCGUUGUGUGGACAUGGGAAGGUGGCUGGAGGGAUCUGCAGAGUGUGUAAUGAAUUUAAGUGUUACUUUGUUCAAAUACAAAGGGAUAUGAUCCAGAAUAUAUCUACAGGAGAUAGAGUCAGUUCUCCAAAAAAAAAAUGUGGGCUUGUGUUGGAAAUACACACACUUGGGAGAAUAGCAGUCCUACUAUGCUAGUAAUAUACAAGCAAAGUGCCUGCCCAGGAGAGUCUAAGGUUUAAGAAAAGUGCUGAAUUUUGUAGGGAACGUGAUCUGGCUUUUAAAACCAUAAGCCUGGGAAACACAUUAAUGUUUGCUUUGUUUCCACAUGUGACCCUCGGUGUCCUUUGGUUUUUGCCAUGUCUGAGUUGAACUUCUGCUGUUGGGAAGUCAGAAGGCUGGAGACAGAGGAUGGGUGAGAAAGUAGCCAGCCUCAGGGAGUGCGCGGAGUGAAAGCUGGUAUUGCCACCUCAUUUAAGCAAGUCAAGAAAAAUCUCAAUGGGUGGUCUGCUCCUGUCAUGCUCUCAGAACUUGUCUAGGUCCACCACCUGUUAUUAUUUGCAUUGAUAUAUAUUAGUAGUAAUGUUAUUAAAUAUGCACUAUUAAUAUUUAUGAUGUGCAGAGUACAGAGAUGAUGUUUCCAAAACCACUUAGAUGUGAUGCAGGAGUAGUUCCCAACUAAUCAGACUUGCUGAGACACCAGAGAAAAGCAUUACUAAACUAUGUUUCUAGCAGUGGCUUCCUCUCUAAUACUGACCAGACACUUUGAUUAAUUGGGGUUUCAAUAGGUAUGAAGAUUUAUUACAGAUUUCUCAUGUAUGAUAACAGGACAUGCCAUAUUUAUGGGGAUAUUCUACAGAACAAUCUGUUUGUGUGUGUGCAAAGAACUGUAAAAUGUGAAGUGGUAUAUGGUAUUAAAUGUUAUGAAUAAUAGUUUUAUUGCAGCUAAUUGUUUUAUAGAAGUCUCCAAGUCUCCAUCCUGUUUUCUAACUCAUAGCUGGUGAAUAUUCUUGAAUGUCUGGUGGUGUUCCCUGGAAAAAAGCUGGAAAAUAUUGCCAAGAAGCCAAGUGAACCAGUUAUGCAUUGCCUUUGCCUUAAAGGAUGAGCCAAGUAACAAGAAAUGACAUUGUAUUAUCUUUCCUUUGGGAAUUGUGGUGGAUGUUGGGGCCUCACAGACUUUCCAACAUCAAUUUACCUGAAAAUGCAUUUGGACUUAUAAUAGGUUUGGAUCCUUUGGGAUAAUUAAUUUACCCAGUUGGUUAUAGAGUGUAAAGUCAACUUACAAGAGAAAAUAAAGAAGAGAAAGUACCUUCUGGAGUAUACAUAAUAUUAA